AAAGGCCUUGGCUUGUGGAGGUAAGCUUAACACCACCAACAGUAACCAACAGCUGUGCUGUAUUAAUAAGCACUGUGGACAGAACACAGCUAACUCUGGCUAUAGAGACCCAAAGAUGACUCAUCCAGUCUAGCUAACCUUCAGAUUGUACCCAGAGUUAUGUUGAUGGACGAGAACCCAAGUAAUUGCCAAAAGAGUUAUCAAGACACAGCACUGUAAGUAAAAAAUAUGGUAAGUCCAAGAUAGCCCAAGUCUUAUUAAGUAACUGCUAUGACCAGACAAUAAGCUGAAAGUUGAGAAUUAAUAAAAUAAGGGAAGUCCUUUGUCCUUGAUGAACCUGAUGCAAUUUUUUUUUUUUUUUUGGUUUUUUUUUUUCGGAGCUGGGGACCGAACCCAGGGCCUUGCGCUUCCUAGGCAAGCGCUCUACCACUGAGCUAAACCCCCAACCCCAACCUGAUGCAAUUUAAUGGCUAUGGGUUGCAAGCCUGGAACUCAUUAUGUAGCCCAGACUGGCUUCAGUCCCCUUGAGAUGCUAAGCUCCCUUCACAGAUGAUCCCUAUUGGACUCCACUCUGAUACUUCAAACCUUUGAAGCAGAUGACACACAGGAGAACUCAAAGACAAAUAUCCAAAUGUGGAUCUCAGUACAUGGAGCUACUCAAGCAGGUUACAUGCCAUCUCCC
rnacentral:lncRNA from 1 species